rnacentral:rRNA from 1 species
AUUGAACGCUGGCGGCAUGCCUUACACGUGCAAGUCGAACGGUAACGGGCCUUCGGGUGCCGACGAGUGGCGAACGGGUGAGUAAUACAUCGGAACGUGCCCGAUCGUGGGGGAUAACGAGGCGAAAGCUUUGCUAAUACCGCAUACGAUCUACGGAUGAAAGCAGGGGACCGCAAGGCCUUGCGCGGACGGAGCGGCCGAUGGCAGAUUAGGUAGUUGGUGGGAUAAAAGCUUACCAAGCCGACGAUCUGUAGCUGGUCUGAGAGGAUGAUCAGCCACACGGGGACUGAGACACGGCCCAGACGCCUACGGGAGGCAGCAGUGGGGAAUUUUGGACAAUGGGCGCAAGCCUGAUCCAGCCAUGCCGCGUGCAGGAUGAAGGCCUUCGGGUUGUAAACUGCUUUUGUACGGAACGAAAAGCCUUCUUUUAAUACAGGAGGGUCAUGACGGUACCGUAAGAAUAAGCACCGGCUAACUACGUG